rnacentral:lncRNA from 1 species
GUUAGCUGUGGGUUUUCGAGUUACAAAUAUGGUAGAAAGCUGACUUGUUAAAACUUGUAGCCACUCUUUCAUAGUCUGCAAUGUACCUCACCAUCAUUCUUUGCAGUGAGAUGCAAAUGAAGAAGUAAGACACCCAGUAUAACAGUUAAGCAAGUAUUUGUGUCCCACUGGUUUUUGUUUUCUUAGUUUAACUCUAGGGUGUUCUUUUCCCUUUGUAAAACUCAGUAUGUUACUGGACUAUUCUGAAAUCCAAAAUCUUAUAAAAAGUUUUCUUCUAUUGAUACUUCUAUGGUUUCUCUCUCAUUUUAUCUCUUCUUCCUCCACUGAGAGCACUUAGGUUUUAGUAAUGUGCACUCCUACAUGUAAAGAGAAACCUUGGAAUAUUGCUUUUCU